AUUAUUAUGACCACGUAAUAUAAUUCAUUAAACUUCUAAGAAAACUACAGAUUUGGAGCUUCAAAUGCCUUGGUGAAGUUUCUAAGAACUUGGAUGUCUAAAAAGUAACUUGUGGUUCAAAAAGAGCAAUUAUAAAAAUGGCAAAGCCAUGACCAAUCACAAUCUCUCCUUUGAUGAGACUGUGGCUGAUGCUCUAUACCAGUGAUCCAUGGAUUCCCUGCUUGAUUACACAGGUAUGUUUCAACCCUGCAGUGAAUCAGUGUAUAUUGUUACUGACAGGCUUUAAUCUGGAGAUAUGUGAUGAUACAGCCUCAUAGCUCUCUGUAACUCUCUUAAGGGGCCCACAUCAAAGGGAACAUUGUGGUUAUGGUAAUUUUAAAAUGUCUAUUGGUUUGUACCUAACAGAUAAUAGGAUGUACCCUGUUCCACUCUACGAUUUUUUCCUUUUAAAUUUCUCUUACUUUCAUCUUCUAGCGCAUCUGGAUGCUCUGCAUAAUUGAAGAACUACUCUUGUAUCCACAAUAUACUUGAUAUUUCAGAUCUGGCUGCUUUCCAAAUGGCAGACUGGUUUUAAAACUUUCAGUAAAAUUUAGUUAAAUGAACCGCUUUGUGUUGAUAUAAUAAUAACGAUCUCUGUUAGUGGUCAUUGUUUAUUGUCUUUAUUGAACUCUGUAUUUUUUUUUAAUUUUCCUCUUCCAACAUGUAAAUCUCCAUUCUCAGAUAAUUGCUUACCCCUGCUAAAGUAGUUCCCUAUAUUAAUUUUUCCCCAUUUAGAUUACAAACUUCUUGAGAAAUCAGACUUGAUUUAAAAAAAAAUUGCUGUAUUCCACUAAACAAAAGACCUAAUUGAUACGUUCUGUUUCCCAUUUUGCACAACCUAAAGACUUCUUUUCCUUCUUUGGUAUAUUUUCCUAAACUUCUGAGGCCCCAGUUUUUUAGACAACAUAGUGCUCCUUGUAUAGUAAUGCUGGUGUUCCUCACCAUUAUGUGAGGAUAUCACCCAUCAGAAAUGAGAAGGGUUUAGACAGCUGGGGUUUUCAAUGUGUGUGUAAGUGAGUGUGUGUAUGUGUGUGUAUGUCUGUGAGUACAUGUGUGAGUUUGAGUGCAUGUGCAUGUAUUCUGGUCAUAGAGGCACAGCUGGAGAUUCCAUUAACCUCUUAGUCACUUGCACAGUAUGCAGAAGUAGAAGCUUGCUUCUGAGUAGUGUCAUUUCUACUCAUAGGCUCCUCUGCUUCUGCAUUCUUUGAGGAAGCUCCAGAGAAACCUGAGUUUGAAUCUUAGCUUUACCACUUACUAACUGUGUGCUGUAGUUAUCUAUAAUAGCAAGAUAAUAUUUUUCCCUUAUCAUAAGAGUGAUGUGAAGCCUAAAUGAGGUCAUGCGUAUAAAGUGUUCAGCAUGAAUGGAACCUUAACAAACCCCCAACACUUUGUUAAAGAAAUGACAUGCUUUUUCUAGGCUAUUGCUCUGGAUAUAAAGCAAUUUUGAGAAAGGUCUUACUUGGACUCUUUUUGGUGUCAUUUUCAGAACAGGGCAGGAAAUUAUCCAACUUGCAAGAGAAUGCUAGCUGAAAAUCGUCCCAUCUUAUGGAAAACCGGUAGAAAAUCCAGGAGGUGAAAUGGAGAACAUGUUCAACUGGAGAAUUCUAUUUCUUAUGCAUGUCAAAUAUGUUUCCUUCUCCUGCACUAGCUGUUCCUUCUGCUGGAAGAAUAUUUAUAUGACUGGCUAAACUUACUGUUCAGAUCUGAGAGUAAAUUUGCAUUUCUCAGAGAGUUAGUUCCUGACCACCCAACUCAAAGUACUAACACUCUAUCUAGUCCUUUUCUUGUUUGUUUUUCAUGUUUAUUUUAUUUCCCACCACUAGAAUCUAAGCUUUUUGAGAGCCGGCACUUUGUCCAUCUGGGUCACUGAAUCCCAAUGAGUUAUUCACAGAUGUUUUUAGUACAUAGUAGGUGAAAUGCAUAGAUAAUAUUUCAACUAAGAAAGUGAACAGAAGAAAGUUGGUCAUUGACUUAUUACUAGUAGCUCACUACUCUCUAUGUAUGAAGACAUCACUUACUGAUGGUUAUGAAGCAGAUGCUCAAUAAUUUUUUUUUAAUAAACAGGAGGGCAAGGAGCCAAUGUCGUUUGUAGUGGAGGGUAGUCAUGGACACUGAGAGUAUGUUUUAGACACAAUUUAUCAAUGGCCAGCCUCAGGCUGAGAUAAAAUAUAACAGAGUUUGCCAAGGUCUUUCAUGCCCAGGCAGUCAGUGCUCACAUGUUCCCUGUAACUGCCUGGGUACCUUUCCCUGAGUCAUCAGUCCUGUGUCUUAAUUCUUUUAGUAGCACCUGCAUUCUGCUCCUUUAACCUUCCAUCAAUCAGCUCUUAUAUACUGUACAUCUCUUUCUCAAGAAGCCUUGUGCAACGCAUGGUGAUUUCAACAGUGAUGAAUAUUUCCUUCCCUCUGACUUCUUAUGAAACCAGGAUAAUGAAGCAAAUUAGAAUGUAUUUUAACAUCACUCUCCCUUGUUUGCUGUCCAGCUAAUGAACAGUGGACUGGCUGAAGAAAGACCAGCAUGAAGCAGAAAAAUUGUUUGGUGAAAAAUUCAAGAAUGGGCCAAUAUCCAUUAAAAGAUUGAAAGAGGAGAUGUUUUGGGUCCACCUCCACUGGGGACAGAAAUUCCAUUCUGCCAACACCCCCUCCAUAUCCAUUGUCUGAAAGAGGCACUGCUGUUGAGUCAUAAGUAGGCUCCAGUGGCCCAUGUUGACCCUUUGAAAUUCCCAUGGGACUGUCAAUUCUAUCUAUUCUGGGAGCAGCCAACCAUAGCUAAUUACAGGCCUGUGGUAUUAGUGGAACAAGCUUCAGCUUUUUACAUUGGCUUGAUGGAGAACUGAGUAGAUAUAAAAGUGUUACAUGUUUUUCUGUAAUCAUAAUAACGUAAUCUUGUUUCAUAAUCAUUAAUAAUUCCUAACAUUUAUUGAAGAGUUAAUAUGUGUUGAGUAUUUUUGUAAGUGCUUAACAUGCAGUUUUUAAAAUUUUAACUCCUUUUUACAGAAAAGGUUUACAGAACGCCAGAGGGGUAGGUGAUUUUGCCAGAGCUCUUUUAGGUAAUAGGAAACAAAGCCAUAAAUUUGAUCCCAGCUAGUUUGACCCCAUAGUCCAAGCAUUAAUCCCUGAACCACACUAGCUCUGGCAAGGGUAUAAAUGAGCAGUGAUUACUAACUGACUUAAAACACAAUAGGAAUUAUCCCCAGUGAAUUCCAACAUAUAAAGGGACACUAAUUCUUGCCAUAGAAAAUCUAUUUGAUAAGUAUGAACAAGAAUUCCAAGGUUAUCAAAAAUAAUUUCUAAUAGUUUAAUUCUUUAAAAGAAAUGGUGUAUCUCAUGGACACAGGAAGGGGAACAUCACACUCCGGGGACUGUUGUUGGGUGGGGGGAGCGGGGAGGGAGAGCAUUAGGAGAUAUACCUAAUGCUAAAUGACAAGUUAAUGGGUGCAGCACACCAACGUGGCACAUGUAUACAUAUGUAACAAACCUGCACAUUGUGCAAAUGUACCCUAAAACUUA
rnacentral:lncRNA from 1 species